AAACCUUAUUCUACUGUAGUGGAUUCAUUGACAUUUUUUUUUCUCUAUCUUUGUUUGUCUUCCUAAAAAGACAUGAAUUUUUCUCUGACUUAAAGUCCAUCUUUCUUGUGUCUUUUAUCUUCCAACAGCCUAUUUGCCAAUAAUAGCUGGUGUAUCAUCAGCCCUGGUCAUUGUCUUGGUUGUGGUCUUAUCAGUCAUCUGGGCUUUGAAGAAAAAGCAAAGAAACAAUAAACCUAAAGAGGAAGAAAAUGACCAGGAAUUAACCUACGCUGAUGUCAGUAUCGUGCAGCAGCAGAGGAGGCAGACUGAGCAAAAGACAAAUGUGGAGGUGGAGUACGGUCAAGUCAAGUCACGACCCCGGAAGACUGAACCAACACAAGAUGAUUGUGUUUAUGCAAAGGUCUGUAAAGACAGAUAACUUAGAUUC